rnacentral:rRNA from 1 species
CCUAAGUGGCGAACGGGUGAGUAACGCGUGAGUAACCUGCCCUGGAGUGGGGGACAACAGUUGGAAACGACUGCUAAUACCGCAUAAGCCCACGGCCCGGCAUCGGGCUGCGGGAAAAGGAUUUAUUCGCUUCAGGAUGGACUCGCGUCCAAUUAGCUGGUUGGUGAGGUAACGGCCCACCAAGGCGACGAUUGGUAGCCGGACUGAGAGGUUGAACGGCCACAUUGGGACUGAGACACGGCCCAG